rnacentral:misc_RNA from 1 species
GAUGAAGAACGUAGCGAAAUGCGAUAAGUAAUGUGAAUUGCAGAAUUCAGUGAAUCAUCGAAUCUUUGAACGCACAUUGCGCCCGACAGUAUUCUGGCGGGCAUGCCUGUUCGAGCGUCAUUUCAACCAUCAAGCCCCCGGCUUGUGUUGGGGACCUGCGGCUGCCGCAGGCCCUGAAAACCAGUGGCGGGCUCGCUAGUCACUCCGAGCGUAGUAAUACAUCUCGCUCAGGGCGUGCUGCGGGUUCCGGCCGUUAAAAAGCCUUAUUUACCCAAGGUUGACCUCGGAUCAGGUAGGAAGACCCGCUGAACUUAAGCAUAUCAAUAAGCGGAGGA